UACAGAGGGGGCAAGCGUUAUUCGGAAUUAUUGGGCGUAAAGGGCGCGUAGGCGGCUACACAAGUGGCGGGUGAAAUCCCUCGGCUUAACCGAGGAACUGCCUGCCAGACUGUGUGGCUUGAGACCGGGAGAGGUGAGUGGAAUUCCCAGUGUAGCGGUGAAAUGCGUAGAUAUUGGGAGGAACACCAGUGGCGAAGGCGGCUCACUGGACCGGAACUGACGCUGAGGCGCGAAAGCGUGGGGAGCAAACAGGG
rnacentral:rRNA from 1 species